rnacentral:rRNA from 1 species
UACGGGGGGGAGCAAGCGUUGUUCGGAUUUACUGGGCGUAAAGGGCGCGUAGGCGGUCGUGACAAGUCACUUGUGAAAUCUCCGGGCUUAACUCGGAACGGUCAAGUGAUACUGUCGUGCUAGAGUACAGAAGGGGCAACUGGAAUUCUCGGUGUAGCGGUGAAAUGCGUAGAUAUCGAGAGGAACACCUGCGGCGAAGGCGGGUUGCUGGGCCGACACUGACGCUGAGGCGCGAAAGCUAGGGGGGAGCGAACGGG